rnacentral:rRNA from 1 species
CUACGGGGCGCUCCAGUGAGGAAUAUUGCACAAUGGGGGGAACCCUGAUGCAGCAACGCCGCGUGGAGGAUGACGCAUUUCGGUGUGUAAACUCCCUUUAUAUGUCAAGAAAAUGACGGUAGCAUAUGAAUAAGCACCGGCUAACUCCGUGCCAGCAGCCGCGGUAAUACGGAGGGUGCAAGCGUUACUCGGAAUCACUGGGCGUAAAGGACGCGUAGGCGGGUUGGAAAGUCAGGUGUGAAAUCCUACAGCUUAACUGUAGAACUGCACUUGAAACUUCUAAUCUUGAGUAUGGGAGGGGGAGAUGGAAUUAGUGGUGUAGGGGUAAAAUCCGUAGAUAUCACUAGGAAUACCUAAAGCGAAGGCGAUCUCCUGGAACAUUACUGACGCUAAGGCGUGAAAGCGUGGGGAGCAAACAGGAUUAGAUACCCGCGUAGUC